AGGUACUUAGGAUAACAUUUAAACCAGGAGCCUUCAAAGCCCCAAACAAG
rnacentral:tRNA from 1 species